ACUGCUCAGUAACACGUGGACAACCUGCCCUUAGGUUGGGUAUAAACCCGGGAAACUGGGUAUAAUACCCGAUAGGUCUCGAUUGCUGGAAUGCAUCGAGAUUUAAAGCUCCGGCGCCUAAGGAUGGGUCUGCGGCCUAUCAGGUAGUAGUGGGUGUAGCGUACCUACUAGCCUACGACGGGUACGGGUUGUGAGAGCAAGAGCCCGGAGAUGGAUUCUGAGACACGAAUCCAGGCCCUACGGGGUGCAGCAGGCGCGAAAACUUUACAAUGCUGGCAACAGCGAUAAGGGAACCUCGAGUGCCAGGUUACAAAUCUGGCUGUCGAGAUGCCUAAAAAGCAUUUCAUAGCAAGGGCCGGGCAAGACCGGUGCCAGCCGCCGCGGUAACACCGGCGGCUCGAGUGGUAACCGUUAUUAUUGGGUCUAAAGGGCCUGUAGCCGGCCGGAUAAGUCUCUUGAGAAAUCUGGCAGCUUAACUGUCAGGCUUUCAGGAGAUACUGUCUGGCUCGAGGCCGGGAGAGGUGAGAGGUACUUCAGGGGUAGGGGUGAAAUCUUGUAAUCCUUGAAGGACCACCAGUGGCGAAGGCGUCUCACCAGAACGGACCUGACGGCAAGGGACGAAGGCUAGGGGCACGAACCGGAUUAGAUACCCGGGUAGUCCUAGCCGUAAACGAUACUCGCUAGGUGUCGGCCACGGUGCGACCGUUGUCGGUGCCGUAGGGAAGCCGUGAAGCGAGCCACCUGGGAAGUACGGCCGCAAGGCUGAAACUUAAAGGAAUUGGCGGGGGAGCAC
rnacentral:rRNA from 1 species